rnacentral:rRNA from 1 species
UAGGGAAUCUUCCGCAAUGGGCGAAAGCCUGACGGAGCAACGCCGCGUGAGUGAAGAAGGAUUUCGGUUCGUAAAGCUCUGUUGUUAGGGAAGAAUGAUUGUGUAGUAACUAUACACAGUAGAGACGGUACCUAACCAGAAAGCCACGGCUAACUACGUGCCAGCAGCCGCGGUAAUACGUAGGUGGCAAGCGUUGUCCGGAAUUAUUGGGCGUAAAGCGCGCGCAGGUGGUUUAAUAAGUCUGAUGUGAAAGCCCACGGCUCAACCGUGGAGGGUCAUUGGAAACUGUUAAACUUGAGUGCAGGAGAGAAAAGUGGAAUUCCUAGUGUAGCGGUGAAAUGCGUAGAGAUUAGGAGGAACACCAGUGGCGAAGGCGGCUUUUUGGCCUGUAACUGACACUGAGGCGCGAAAGCGUGGGGAGCAAACAGGAUUAGAUACCCUGGUAGUCCACGCCGUAAACGAUGAGUACUAAGUGUUGGUCUCAUAAGAGAUCAGUGCUGCAGCUAACGCAUUAAGCACUCCGCCUGGGGAGUACGACCGCAAGGUUG